rnacentral:rRNA from 1 species
AUUGAACGCUGGCGGCAUGCUUUACACAUGCAAGUCGAACGGCAGCGUGGGCUUCGGCCUGGCGGCUAGUGGCGAACGGGUGAGUAAUGCAUCGGAACGUGCCCAGUAGUGGGGGAUAGCCCGUCGAAAGCCGGAUUAAUACCGCAUACGACCUGAUGGUGAAAGCGGGGGACCGAAAGGCCUCGCGCUAUUGGAGCGGCCGACGUCGGAUUAGCUAGUUGGUGGGGUAAAGGCUUACCAAGGCGACGAUCCGUAGCUGGUCUGAGAGGACGACCAGCCACACUGGAACUGAGACACGGCCCAGACUCCUACGGGAGGCAGCAGUGGGGAAUGUUGGACAAUGGGGGCAACCCUGAUCCAGCCAUGCCGCGUGCGGGAAGAAGGCCUUCGGGUUGUAAACCGCUUUUGUUCGGGAAGAAAUCCUCUGGGCUAAUACCCCGGGGGGAUGACGGUACCGGAAGAAUAAGCACCGGCUAACUACGUG